GAUGGACGCUGGCGGCGUGCCUAAUACAUGCAAGUCGAGCGAAUGGAUUGAGAGCUUGCUCUUAUGAAGUUAGCGGCGGACGGGUGAGUAACACGUGGGUAACCUGCCCAUAAGACUGGGAUAACUCCGGGAAACCGGGGCUAAUACCGGAUAACAUUUUGAACCGCAUGGUUCGAAAUUGAAAGGCGGCUUCGGCUGUCACUUAUGGAUGGACCCGCGUCGCAUUAGCUAGUUGGUGAGGUAACGGCUCACCAAGGCAACGAUGCGUAGCCGACCUGAGAGGGUGAUCGGCCGCACUGGGACUGAGACACGGCCCAGACUCCUACGGGAGGCAGCAGUAGGGAAUCUUCCGCAAUGGACGAAAGUCUGACGGAGCAACGCCGCGUGAGUGAUGAAGGCUUUCGGGUCGUAAAACUCUGUUGUUAGGGAAGAGCAAGUGCUAGUUGAAUAAGCUGGCACCUUGACGGUACCUAACCAGAAAGCCACGGCUAACUACGUGCCAGCAGCCGCGGUAA
rnacentral:rRNA from 1 species